GGCGCCAAAGCACAGGGGCUCAAAAUGUGGACUCAGAUUAGCACGCAAACAGUGAGAUGCUCGGCUUGAGUCUACGCGCGGGCGAAGAUGCCUCUGUCGCCUCAAACAGUGUCCUUCGCGACGGCGGAAAACUACAGCCCGCCCCCGCUCCCGUGCCUGCUCAGGAAGCCGUGACCAAGCCAGUGCCCGCCGGUGCCCGGAGUGAAGGUGGAAAAAGCCGAGUGCUCCUGCUCGGGGGCGGGGUUGAGAGGGGGAGAUUAAUCCGGGCAAGCCAAGGGGACCUUAGACUUGCAGCCAGGGCCGCCACCCGAGGAGCCCGCAUGCAGGGACGCGCCUGAAGGCUUAGUCAAACCCGGGGAAAUGCCCUCCCCCGCCUGCAGAAUCCCCACGCCGUCUCUUACUUCCUCCCUCUUUGCCACUGGCGAGCUUACACGUGCACACACACACACCCCUCUCUGUCUGUGACCGCAACAAACUUUGUGAAACUUGAACCGCUGGGUGCAAAGUUCACGCCCUUUUCUCCUUUCCUCUCUUGCCUGGGCCGGCUCCUCCUGGAGCAGGGAGGGAAGAAGUUCUUGGCCUCCAGACCUGGGAGAGGAGUUUCCGAAAGUCAGGGCCUCGCCUCGCUGUGACAUUAGACCCUUGCCACCCACCAGACCGAUGGACACUAAACACUUUCCUUGUCGGAAGGCGCUAGUAGUUGCAGCGGCCAGGCUUGGCAGGGCCCUGGUCGACCACCCCACCACUGCCCUGGCCGGACUUUCCCAGGGCG
rnacentral:lncRNA from 1 species